rnacentral:snRNA from 2 species
GUUCCUUUGGAGACUUCCGAUAAAAUUGGAACGAUAUAAAGAAGAUUAACAGGACCCCUGCGCAAGGAUCACACAAAAAACCUAUCUUAAGGUU